rnacentral:rRNA from 1 species
GAGUUUGAUCGUGGCUCAGAGUGAACGCUGGCGGUAGGCCUAACACAUGCAAGUCGAACGGUAACAGGUCUUUCGGGAUGCUGACGAGUGGCGGACGGGUGAGGAAUACAUCGGAAUCUGCUCAGUCGUGGGGGAUAACGCAUGGAAACGUGCGCUAAUACCGCAUACGACCUUCGGGUGAAAGCAGGGGAAUCUCUCGGGAUCCUUGCGCGAUUGAAUGAGCCGAUGUCGGAUUAGCUAGUUGGUAGGGUAAAAGCCUACCAAGGCCACGAUCCGUAGCUGGUCUGAGAGGAUGAUCAGCCACACUGGGACUGAGACACGGCCCAGACUCCUGCGGGAGGCAGCAGUGGGGAAUAUUGGACAAUGGGGGCAACCCUGAUCCAGCCAUACCGCGUGGGUGAAGAAGGCCUUCUGGGAUGUAAAGCCCUUUUGUUGGGGAAGAAAAACAACGGGUUAAUACCCCGUUGGUAUGACGGUACCCAAAGAAUAAGCACCGGCUAACUUCGUGCCAGCAGCCGCGGUAAUACGAAGGGUGCAAGCGUUACUCGGAAUUACUGGGCGUAAAGGGUGCGUAGGUGGUUGCGCCAGUCUGUCGUGAAAGCCCUGGGCUUAACCUGGGAAUAGCGAUGGAAACUGUGCAACUAGAGUGUGACAGAGGGUGGUGGAAUUCCUGGUGUAGCAGUGAAAUGCGUAGAGAUCAGGAGGAACAUUCGUGGCGAAGGCGGCCACCUGGGUCAACACUGACACUGAGGCACGAAAGCGUGGGGAGCAAACAGGAUUAGAUACCCUGGUAGUCCACGCCCUAAACGAUGCGAACUGGAUGUUGGGUCCAACUUGGGAUUCAGUAUCGAAGCUAACGCGUUAAGUUCGCCGCCUGGGGAGUACGGUCGCAAGACUGAAACUCAAAGGAAUUGACGGGGGCCCGCACAAGCGGUGGAGUAUGUGGUUUAAUUCGAUGCAACGCGCAGAACCUUACCUGGCCUUGACAUGCACGGAACCUUUG